AGAAAUUCGGUGACCCAUAAACUGAAGAGGAAACAGCAAUCACUGAGGCCUGGACGGAAGCGCGCUGUAAUGCAGAGUUUAGAUGACGUACAACUCUAAUAAGGCCAUUCCCCGAAGCGAGUUAUGUUUAGUGCCUUGGAUAAUUGGCCAGAAAAAGAGGUGUGGAGCCACUGUCGCGCCUUGCUGCCGUGUCAGGUGACGAACAGCCAGAGCUGCGGUGAUAAAAGAGGAAAGCCAGUAACUUGUGUCACCGUUAAAGUUUAUGUAGCUAUAUAAUACUCACUCAGUGUGACUCUAGUGUAAAUAACGCGUCAUAUUUAACAGUGUUAUUUAAUUCAUUGACGGCCUCUGAAAACUAACUUCCCGUUUUCUCCAUUUCAGCCAAUAGGAUGCAGCCAAGCGUCUUGAUGUCACGAAGAAGACGAACUGAACCUUUUUAUUUGAGGCUCCGGACUAACUCAUUACAGGUGCAGAUGUUUCGUAAACCAAAGUUAGAGGCUUCAUUAGGAGAGGGAAGAGUCACCGCUCAACGAGCCUCGCCAGUAUGUGGGUGGCAGCAGGGAAAAGCAGAUACGUAGUACGGCUGGUUCUCAUUUUUCAUCCCUUUGCAACAUGGUGCCUCGGCGGCCGUGACGCUCACUGCCCAGGAUCCAGGACGGGGGCGCCCGAGGGAGUGGUGGUGGUUCAGUAAAGAAUUAUUAGAUACAUGAAACAUUGGUCGUCAGCAAGCAGGUAA